UACGUAGGGUGCGAGCGUUGUCCGGAAUUAUUGGGCGUAAAGGGCUCGUAGGCGGUUUGUCGCGUCGGGAGUGAAAACCCAGGGCUUAACUCUGGGCUUGCUUUCGAUACGGGCAGACUAGAGGUAUGCAGGGGAGAACGGAAUUCCUGGUGUAGCGGUGAAAUGCGCAGAUAUCAGGAGGAACACCCGUGGCGAAGGCGGCGCCCUGGUCCGUUUCUGACGCUGAGACGCGAAAGCGCGGGGAGCGAACGGG
rnacentral:rRNA from 1 species